rnacentral:rRNA from 1 species
UACGGGGGGGGCAAGCAGUGUUCAGAAUUACUGGGCGUAAAGGGCUCGUAGGUGGCCAACUAAGUCAGACGUGAAAUCCCUCGGCUUAACCGGGGAACUGCGUCUGAUACUGGAUGGCUUGAGGUUGGGAGAGGGAUGCGGAAUUCCAGGUGUAGCGGUGAAAUGCGUAGAUAUCUGGAGGAACACCGGUGGCGAAGGCGGCAUCCUGGACCAAUUCUGACGCUGAGGAGCGAAAGCCAGGGGAGCAAACGGG